GUACAUUUAUUGCCUGCGGUUUAAGAUUGCUGAAGAAGGAAGGCGAACAGCAGCUACAGUAAGGGAAGAAAAUGUUGCUCUGUAAGGAAAAUGGACUGAACCACCAUGUUGUUGUUUGUGGUUUUAAUACUUCCCUUGGGAUAAUGACAAAAACGGAAGAUGGCAAACUACCAGGAAUAUGCCACUUACUCCGAAACGGGAGAAACCUUCAAGGACAAGGACUGUCAAGUUCUAUCGCUAUCAUUUGAGAAGAAGGAGGGGGAAAAGAUUCUGUAUGGAGGGGACUAGAGGAGAUUAAACAGGGGAAAAGGAGGAAGGAAGAAAAAUAAGUACAUAUUCAAGAAGGAAAUAUCCUAGCUAUUUUUGUAUGACGUAAAUGAAUUACUGAAGAACCAUUCCGGGAAAACAAGUUUGCACAUAAGUAUUCCCAAUGCUCGUUUAAUAUAGGGCCUCAAAAGUGCUGUACCAGAUAACGUGAUGAUCAAGCUAUUAACCUUGUUGCUUGUCUCAUCAGUUAGGGACCUAUCUCCCACUGUUGUGUGCAUGUUACCGCCAGUGUUGGUAUUACCUUCAUCGUAAUGCUAUGAGUCAUCUCACUGUCACCUGGGCAACAAGGGCCAGCUAACAUUACUGAGCAGAAAUCCCACAAGAUGUGCCUCUUGGAAUAAGAAUGGAGCGGCUAGAUUUGGAGACUGCACCCUGCACUGCAAUUGGGAGCGGACUGUAGUUUCGUGUAGUUACGUUUAGCUUUCCUUGAGGGUCAUAAGUACAAAAUCUUCAGAGAUGCCACAGAUCCUUUCAUCAAACAAAACAAAGCUGCUGCAAAAAGCCAGAACUACCACAAAAUCUGCACCAGGUAGUAGUCUGAAUCCUCAAAGAAGAAUGAAGUUUUACUUGCUGAAAGACUUAGUACAUUAUUACACUAGUCAAACCUCCUGAUAGACUCCUUGCAAAGCUGCCUAGCACAGGGAGUACUGUACCUGGUAUACAUAUAGUGCAGAUGCUAUAGUACUUGGGGAGACAUCAUCAUGCGGUUUACAAAGACACCCAUCAGUACUACUUUUGCGUCUAACAUUUACAGCCCAAAAUAGCAUAUGUUUGUUCCCAAGAAUAUACCAUAUCCACAUUGCAUAUUACUACUACCAACAAAGUUCUGAAUAACCCAGUCUUUCCUGGAACUAAGAAAUCUCAGCAUGUUUUAUUGAUUUUGAAGGGGUUCAGAGGAAUAUUGUUUAGCGCCAACCAGCAACAACUUAACACCUGAAUUCUCUGAAGCGAAAAAUUAAAUUAAUGAUCCUUUUAUAUAUGUGAUCAGCCACUUAAAACCACACAGCAUGUAGAAGUAUUAAAAUGGUAGUUACCUAGAAAAUAUCCAGACAGAACAUUAUUUGUACUACCUUUUGUGAUUAAAAUUCCAGUUAAGGUGUUGAAAAUGUCCUGUAUUCAUAGAUGCUGGAACUAGGGGCGCUGGAGAUGUGGGAGCACCCUGGCUUGAAGUGGUUUCCAUUAGAUAUAGGGUUUACAGUUGGGUGCUGAGAGCCAUCGAACCAACACAUAUAAGAAGUGGUGCUGCAACAAUUUAUACCAAUGGAAUCCAGAUACUUCUGUCCCACGCCAAAUGAGAACACAAAAUAUUAACUGCUGAAUGAUUUUUUAAAGGCCAUGCCCUGCUUGUGCAUACUGUAUGGAAAUAAAUGAUACAAGGUCCAGGCUUUGGGGAUUGAGGCAUUAUUUACAAAUAUGUUGUAUUGAUGUACUACCUAGAAACCAAAUGUAUUACUUUACAAAUUAAACUUCAGUAUUUAGGCAACACUUUGUCAUAGGACUGAGGGGCAAAGUUUCUUAGACGUCUAGAAAUUGUAUCAUCAUCUUCGCUUAUAAAUUCCUAUAUUCUGGAAAUUUUCUCCACUUGAGUCUCUGUAUGAAAAAUGGUUACUGAAUGGAUUUUUAGAAAGCCUAAAUUUAAGAGUUUAAAUUAUUGUAAGUCUGGUCACCCAUCAGAGA